AUUGAACGCUGGCGGCAUGCUUUACACAUGCAAGUCGAACGGCAGCGCGGGCUUCGGCCUGGCGGCGAGUGGCGAACGGGUGAGUAAUGCAUCGGAACGUGCCCAGUAGUGGGGGAUAGCCCGGCGAAAGCCGGCUUAAUACCGCAUACGACCUGAGGGUGAAAGCGGGGGACCGAAAGGCCUCGCGCUAUUGGAGCGGCCGAUGUCGGAUUAGCUAGUUGGUGGGGUAAAGGCUUACCAAGGCGACGAUCCGUAGCUGGUCUGAGAGGACGACCAGCCACACUGGGACUGAGACACGGCCCAGACUCCUACGGGAGGCAGCAGUGGGGAAUGUUGGACAAUGGGGGCAACCCUGAUCCAGCCAUGCCGCGUGCGGGAAGAAGGCCUUCGGGUUGUAAACCGCUUUUGUUCGGGAAGAAAUCCUCUGGGCGAAUACCCCGGGGGGAUGACGGUACCGGAAGAAUAAGCACCGGCUAACUACGUG
rnacentral:rRNA from 1 species